rnacentral:lncRNA from 1 species
UGUCGAGCACAAUUAAUAACUGUUCGGUUGCCGCGCGUUGAACUGACAGAUCGAGUGUUACGAAAUUGCUCUGUGUCACUUCACUGUGCUGCCAACUACUAAUAUUUUUGUGUCGUCGCAGCCAAUGCACUUGACCUUAAAUUGAGAAGUGUAGUGCAUACUUGCCCGUACGAACACAACGUUGCUCAACUAUAAUUAUUGGCGUGUCGAGAAGCCGCAAGGAAACUAGCCUUUUCAGGACUUCCAUCUUCUGAAAACUUGUGCAGUUGGUUUACUACUGAUAUUGAGGUCAGGUGUGCAAUCGCUUCCCUAUCUCUGGUAGGAGAGGGAGUAGUAACAGCUUCAGUCAAUGUAAUGAUGCUUUAGUUAGCAUAACUGGUCGCAGUAUGCCAUAUUCUGCAAACUUCUGCAACGUUUAACUAAUAAAACAGGCAAGGCGAGGAAAACGGACUUGUUGUUUGCCUGUUCAAUCUUUGUCGUCAUUUGUGCGCUGCAACAUUCACGCAGCAAUGAAGUUAAAUUGAACCAACUGAGGAAAAAAAAUUGCUGGCAUGUUCAGCAAUAGGACUAUGAAAACCUUGGGCAAUCAGCAAUAUGGGUCUAUCUUUGUGAAAUCAUCUGUUCUUAUACAUUGAUGGUUGCUGACAUUGCAUAAAUAAGCUUAGCCUUGUUAGCUUAAUGCGUCCUGUACUUAGAUCACAUAUGGGCAGCAGGAUUAGUGCUGUGCUGUGCUGUGAUGGCUCUAAAUAACAAACCUGUUUGGGACAGUACAGCAACCAUAAAGAAAGGCUGUUUAAUUAAUCAAUGCCUGUUCAAUGUCCACAGCUUCACUUCUAAUGUGCAAAACUAUUGAUAAACCAUCUGGGUGUGCUUUCAGAUCUUCCAACGACCGGUUGCAGUGCUACGUCGACAUCGGUGAAAGCACGACGGUGUGUGAUGGAGCAUUGAUUAACUUGGUUGUCUCCCCAAGCCACUCCGAAGCAUCAGAGGCACAAAAAAAGCCGCUGUCUGGUAGUGCGGUUGGACAUGCGGAGAAUGCAGUCAAAGGACAGUACAAGGAAUUGUCAACGUACACACUGCCUCUGAUGCCCAUUGACGUUGCUGCACACCUCUGAAAUAUUACAGCAGGAGGCGUGCCUGACAAUCUUCAAAAGAAAAUUGAAUGGAUUGCCUACAAUUCGUCAUCUCAGACAAUUUCUCAUGGUAUAUGUGCCUAAGAAACAAGUACAAAAACAUGCGAAAGUGAAUGCCACCAGGAUGCCCUGAAGUCGAUGCAGAAGUGAAAGCAAGAAAGGCAAGCGAAAUUGUGACACAUGCUCAAAAUCUGGAUUUUGAAGACGGGUGAUAAGCUGCAAGUUUGCAUGCAUGUUUCACUAGAUAAACUGACUCUCUUUGUUAUGUGGCUUAGUUGAAACAUUUAGUUGCUUCUCUUGAUGUACUUGUUCGUUUCAUUUACAUUUUUUCUUUAAAAAAUGCAAACAUGCAAUCCAGCUAUAGCAACUAUAUCUGCUAUGCUGUCACCAGAGAUUUUGUAGGUGAUCAAAGAACCAAAAUAUCAUAUCGCAUCGCCACCUUGAACCUAGAGUGAAACAUUAGUUCAAGAUGUAGUGGUAGGUGCAUUUAUAGACUAGUAAUACAGCAUUCAUACUGUAAUGUAUAUCGAUAUACAUGCUAAGAUGUAGCGAAAAGUGUGUGGCUAUGCUGCUCUGACACUUCAGUUGUUUUAACCUUUCAUUGAUGAGUUCUGCAUACAGCAUACCAAAAAAUUAUAAUUUUUCUUGCUGAUUUUUGGCAUUGAGUAAGAAGUUUCUUGUUAAAUGUAUUGAGCCAACACUGAAUGACUGGCAGCUAGUGUCAUUUGUCGGUUUAGAGCAGAAACACAGGAUGGGAAAAAAAAAGACAUGGGACUCGUUUUCUUUGGAAACCACGGUCAGGGGAGACAAACCAGUGCAAGAUCUGCUGUAGUGACCUCAGACACACAAUGCAAAGAGCUCUCUGUAUAGAUUCCAAACGCAGCCAUAUGUCGCUUGGGGAGAAGCCCACUUCUUCCCCUAUACUAUAAAGGAGUUUCUACAAAAUAUCCUUUAUUUUUGUUGAUUAUGCUUAUUCUCAAUGUCUUUUGCACAUUUAGGAAAAUAAUUUGUUUUGUAUUUAUAUGCGUGGUCAUUAAAGGGUUAGACAAAUAAAGUGGUUCCAAUGAAUGUGAAUGUAUAACUUUAGCGACUCUAGUCGCAAUGUGUUGAUCAUUCCACAAUCUUUGUGAGAGCACGAAACAGGAACUAGGCAGCAUGAAAAUCACUCAGCAGUACCAAGAAGGAAGCUUCAGCACUUAUACAGUACUGCAGAAUACACUUCUUCUAUGCUGUAGCUGUGGUGUCCUUUUUAUUAUGUGGUCUUGAUCCCACUAUGGGGAAAUAACUCUGCUUUGGAAGUGCAUUGCAGUACUUUAAUACUUUAACUGCUUGCUGCAAAAGGAAAGUGCCAUUAGAGUAUUACAUAAGGAUCAUGUGUUAUGAGGCAGUUGCUAGACGUGGUAUGUCACAGCACUGAGUUGCCGGCGGCCAUUAAAAUUAGCUGUUUUCUGUGGCAUUGUUAACUUGACAGAACAUAGUGAGCAUUAUUUGAUCAGUAAACAAUACUACAUAAUUCUGGCCCUUAGUUGGAACUUUGUCUCAUCUCUGUGAUGCGCGCAACCUGCUUUUGAUGUUACUGAGAUGGAGUGACUCCUUGCAAAGCAGCAGGGUAGUUCUGUUAAUGAUGCUGUCAUUCACACUUACGCAGAUUGUUUAGUAGGCAUUAGCUCAGUGCCAUUCCCCCAUAGAAUCACAGCUUGCAUUUCAUUCAUGUAUAAUAGAAACAUUCUGUAGAUUUCAUGUGAAAAUGUGACAUUGGAGGGCAUUAUGCUAUAAGUUCACAGCAGUGAGCCCCAUUAUUGGAAGACAGCUGUUGUCUCAAAUUACUUACAGCAAAGUGAAGCCAUGUACAUUCUCGCCUUAACUACUGCAGUUUAGUAUGGGCCACAAGGACCAAAACAAACAUAAAGAAGGUUCUCGUAUUGCAAAAGAAAAUUGUUCGAAUAAUCGCUAAUGUUGAUAAUACAACUACCUCCAAAUGUGCUUUUGAAGCACAUAACAUUGUCCGCGUCAAUCAUUUGUAUAACUUUAAGUUGUUACAAAAAAUUUAUUUCUCAAUGGCAUCCACUGCCGAUUUUUAUUCUACUCUGGCAUCUUUGGACAUGCGUCGUGCUAACAUACUCACAAGACCUAUUAAUACAUAGAUUAUGCCAUGUUUUCGCGCUAAUUAUAAAUUGCAAAUGUUGUCUUAUAACCUGCCCCAUGUUCUAAAAGGGUAUACCAAAGCUGAGCUGCGGAAAUAUUUUGUUGAAAUGUGAUUUUAUGUGUUGAAAUGUGAUUUUAUGUCUUUGCUAGUAGAUGCUGCAUGUUUGCUUGGUUAUUACUUUUAUUAUUUCUGAACAUAAGUGUGACCAUUUCAGCGUUUCGAUUUUACUGUUCAAAUUUUGUGCAAAGAUUAUUAGACUCUGUAUGCAUAAAUAGUGAAUGUUUCUCUUUAUUGAAUGUGACUAUUCUAUGUGUGUCUGUUGAAGAUUUCCUGCACCACUCGUGUGCUACUGCUUGUAGGGGUUUCCUGGACACGGUCAAGCUGUGCAGGCAGCUUUUUGCCAAAAACCUACCCUCCAGUUGAAUCUGGAAAAUGAACUUAUACUUAUAUCCUUAUACUUAUUUAAAUAUGUUCUGCCUAUUGUGUAUCUACAUGUGUGGGCUUGUGAUAUGCCCUGAUGGCAAGGCCAUUUGUGGUUCGUUCAAAGAGAACAUUUACGGAUGCAUUAUAGCUAUUCUCAGGCUCCUCUCUUCCUGCUGUAAACUGGAUUCUCUGCUUAUAAGAAAUAAGUGUUCAUUGUGAUUACUAUAUGUGCCCUUGCUAAAGGUUACUGUGAUGUGUUCAUGUUCUUAUUGAAUAAAAUGUUUACAAAGUUUUAA